rnacentral:rRNA from 1 species
UACAGAGGUCUCAAGCGUUGUUCGGAUUCAUUGGGCGUAAAGGGUGUGUAGGUGGCGCCGUAAGUCGGGUGUGAAAUUUCGGAGCUUAACUCCGAAACUGCAUUCGAUACUGCGGUGCUUGAGGACUGGAGAGGAGACUGGAAUUUAUGGUGUAGCAGUGAAAUGCGUAGAGAUCAUAAGGAAGACCAGUGGCGAAGGCGGGUCUCUGGACAGUUCCUGACACUGAGGCACGAAGGCCAGGGGAGCAAACGGG